GGUAGUUCUACCGCUCCGCUUUUAAAUGUAGGAGGGAACACAGGAAGCAAUAGUGAUGGGCCUAUGUAUCCCAGAAAUACAUAUGAUGAUAGCACGGAUACAUGUGUUCCGCCUAUUACUGGAAAUUUGGCUAGUCAGCAUACAUCAGGUGAUGGGGAUAUGGAAAGUAUGAUGCUUGAUGGGGAGUGUAGAAUGUGAUUGACAGCUUGACACCUUUCGCAACUAUGAUGCUUGACGGGGGAUCUAUGAUGUGAUUUUCAGCUUGUCACCUUUCACAACAAUGGUGCUUCACAGGGAAUCUAGGAUGUGAUUGUCGUCUUGACACCUUUCACUUGCAUACUCCUCAUCUUCAAGCUCUAUGCAUAUUUUACAACUGAAAACCGGAGGUUGAACGACUAAGCCAAGAAAAAGC
rnacentral:misc_RNA from 1 species